UUCAUGGCGAGUUUGAUCCUGGCUCAGAGCGAACGCUGGCGGCGUACUUAACACAUGCAAGUCGAACGAGGAUCGUCGGGUUAGCAAUAAUUCGGC
rnacentral:ncRNA from 1 species